UGUAACGAACAUUCCAUUCCAGUGAAAUAGUAGAAAGCACCAGCUGGAGACCAGCUGUGUCCUAUGGUCUUUGACUGUAAGUGAAAUCUUACUACAACCCAAUAAAGCAGAUGCAUCCUUUGAUGAACUUUGCAAAUCUUCAGAUCAGGUCUCUUAUAUUCUAUAUUAGCUAAAAAGUGAAAAAAAAAUCAUUCUCUUUGGAGGCUCAUUAGUUUUUCUUUGAUGCCUGGCCAAGAAUUCAGUUCUCUGUCAACAAAUGGAGGUAAUAUCUCAUUGGACUACUUUGGUUCUAAUGCCAUUCCUUCUUAGAUAACCAAGGGCACCAGUGAUGUUUUGGGGGGAAGUCAUUGAGAAGAUGUGACCACUGGUUGACCUUCACACUGGACCCAGGCAAUUGUGCAUGCUACAUGAAGUUAUAUGUAAGUGGGACCAAAAUGCAAAUGCAUUAUUAAAUGUGGGAACGUCAAGCUUCAAUUUACCGAGAAUUCAAAAGAUAACUAUCCUCAUCAUCAUCAUCAAUAAUAUUGAACUUUUUCAAUAAGAUGAUAAGGAAUUUUCUGAUUUCCUGCAUGGGGAAUGAAAAGCUGUAGCAUCAGGCACUCCUCAGCAUGCUUUGAGAGAAAAAAAUGGAAUUUUGGAAACAGUAAUGCAGGAAGCAUCGGAUAUAAUGGGAAAGUUUUUCUUUUGAGUAAUUGCCAACUCCGAGACUUAGGACACAAUGGACAUACUGAUAAGAUCAAAAGUAGAACCUAUAAGAGGAUCUAAAAAAAUCUGGUAACUAGAAAUGGAUCUAUAUGUCUACAAAGGAAUGGGCUGAGACUCUUGAAACUUGUUUCCUAGGAAACUCAAUAGACUCAUCCUAAUAGCCUAACAUCAAGUCUGAAUUGGAUAAAAAAGAAUUGCCAAUAAAUUAACUGUAUGCUAGAACGAAACUCAACAUUCAUUAGAAAAAUUACAGAAUUGGGAGUCUCCCUAAUAUAUUAUCUACAAUAUCUAGAGUGUGGUUAAAAGUUACUAGAUAUGCAAACAAGUAAAAUAUGUGGUGCAUAAUACAGAGAUAAAAUGAUCAAUAACAUCUGAUCCACAGAUUACCCAGAUGUUG